rnacentral:tRNA from 1 species
GCCUUCGUGGUGUAGUGGGCAACACGCUGGGCGCGUAUUCCAGAGGUCCGUGGUUCGAGUCCCGGCGAAGGCG